rnacentral:rRNA from 1 species
GAUGAACGCUGGCGGCGUGCCUAAUACAUGCAAGUCGAGCGAACAGAUGAGGAGCUUGCUCCUCUGACGUUAGCGGCGGACGGGUGAGUAACACGUGGAUAACCUACCUAUAAGACUGGGAUAACUUCGGGAAACCGGAGCUAAUACCGGAUAAUAUAUUGAACCGCAUGGUUCAAUAGUGAAAGACGGUUUUGCUGUCACUUAUAGAUGGAUCCGCGCCGCAUUAGCUAGUUGGUAAGGUAACGGCUUACCAAGGCAACGAUGCGUAGCCGACCUGAGAGGGUGACCGGCCACCCUGCAACGGAGACACGGUCCAGACUCCUACGGGAGGCAGCAGUAGGGAAUCUUCCGCAAUGGGCGAAAGCUUGACGGAGCAACGCCGCGUGAGUGAUGAAGGUCUUCGGAUCGUAAAACUCUGUUAUUAGGGAAGAACAAAUGUGUAAGUAACUAUGCACGUCUUGACGGUACCUAAUCAGAAAGCCACGGCUAACUACGUG